UGCUUUAGACGUAGUUGCAAAUGACAUGAAUCCUGAAAAUCAUAUUCAUAUAUAGGGCACUUCAUGAAAUUAUCUCCUUCUCUUUCACCCUUACAGAAAUUUUGUAAACAACAAGGCCAAGAAACGUCAAAACCCCAUAUAAAAUCAAAACAAUGCAGUGCACUAUAUGGAGAUUUUAAUCAAAAUUCUGUUGAUUUCAUGGUGGAUGUAGAUAAUGAAUCAUUCUUGCUUCCUAUCAUCGGUGAUAACGAAACAUUGCAGCUCAUUUUUGACAAAACCAGUCUACUUUGGUUAAAUCAAGUUAAUCACGUGUGUAAUGAACUUAAUGUUUACUUAGAUCUAUUAUUUACCAGCUGCACAGAGAACUUUCAUGUAGACAAAGCCCUUUAUCCCUUAUCGAAAAAUGAGAAACACCAUAUCGUUAUAGAGUAUUCAUUGUUGAAUCAUCCUGUCUCCACACGACCAAUUGACUGCGGAUUUGAAUUAGUUUUCGAUUUUGAAAAGUGUGACUUCAAUAACAUUCAAAACAAACUCAAUGAAACGAAGUGACAAGCUUUAUUAAAAAACAAUAUGAAUAUGAGUUGUAGUGUGAACAUAUUUAACGAAAAGUUAUUCGCCAUACUGGAUGAAAUAGUACCGAAGAAACAUAAAAAGAUGACGAUCAACUCUAAAAACCCCGUUUGGUUCACGAGAGACAUAAAAAAGUUAAGAAACCGAACACAGAAAAUGCACAAAGCUUAUAAAAGAAAUCGAUCCGCGGAGAAUCUAGAGCAAUAUAUUAACAUUUGUGAGUUGUUUGAUACUGAAAUUAAAAACGCAUACGAGAGUUACAAUACGAAAAUCGAAAAUGACGUGAAGAAUGACAUAAAAGCUUUCUUUAGUUUUGCCAAUAGUAAAAUGAAAACUAAUAACUUUCCGUCGCGCAUGAUGUUUGAAGAGGUUGUUAGAAGUGAUAGUCAAGAAAUCUGCAAAAAAUUUGCUAAGUUUUUUCAAGCUUGUCUGGUUCUUCGUUCCAACAUGAGGUCGUCAAUCUUUCGCCGCAGGAACAGGUCCACCUCGGUCCCGCCAUUGCCAAAAUCGCUCCAACACCAAGUCACCUGCUACGGUAAGUCAACAACAUAAAAAACACGCAAUAAAACAUCCUUAGAUUAUCCAAAUUACCUGUGGCAAAAUCAGCAGGAAAUACAACCA